AUUAUAUAUAUAAUAUAAGUCGCAAACAUAUCAGAACUUCUUUCUUGGCUCAAUGGUAUGUGCUGAUGGACGAAUUGAAUGUGCUGAGUUCGAUUCCUGGCGUGUUGCUAUUUUGAUGUUUUUUUUUUAAAUUAUUUGUAUUAAAAAAGGGUGUUGCUGGGAAUCGAACUAGUAACAACAAGGUAAAACGCAGUCACCCAAACCACUUAUCUAUAGCAUUUAAGGUAUCAAUGUUUUACUUUGUUAAUAUAUAUAGUUGCUUUGAAAGUUUUGC
rnacentral:lncRNA from 1 species